GGCACAAACUUGAAGUAGAAUAGUUGGGUAUGGUCAGCUGAUCCUACUGACCUACUCUGCUCCAAGUUUGUGCUC
rfam:Haemonchus placei strain MHpl1 genome assembly, scaffold: HPLM_scaffold0000031